GACGAACGCUGGCGGCGUGCUUAACACAUGCAAGUCGAACGGAAAGGCCCUGCUUUAGUGGGGUGCUCGAGAGGCGAACGGGUGAGUAACACGUGAUUAACCUGCCCUUGACUUUGGGAUAACUUCAGGAAACUGGGGCUAAUAACGGAUAGUAGCGCCUGCUGCUUGGUGGGGGUUGGAAAGUUUCGGCGGUUGGGGAUGGACUCGCGGCUUAUCAGCUUGUUGGUGGGGUAGUGGCUUACCAAGGCUUUGACGGGUAGCCGGCCUGAGAGGGUGACCGGCCACAUUGGGACUGAGAUACGGCCCAGACUCCUACGGGAGGCAGCAGUGGGGAAUAUUGCACAAUGGGCGGAAGCCUGAUGCAGCAACGCCGCGUGCGGGAUGACGGCCUUCGGGUUGUAAACCGCUUUCGCCUGUGACGAAGCGUGAGUGACGGUAAUGUGUAAAGAAGCACCGGCUAACUACGUG
rnacentral:rRNA from 1 species